GAUAUCCUGCGGUGUUCGUCAGGGGUUUGGCAAAUUUGAACCAACGCUCAAAUACCUUGGGAACUGUUGUCUUGCGCAGCUAACGGUCGCUGGCUUGUUCCCACCUGUAAAACAGGUUCAAGGUCGCCCUAUCUCAACGGCAUCUGCGGGGCUUUU
rnacentral:other from 1 species